rnacentral:rRNA from 1 species
AUACGGAGGAUCCAAGCGUUAUCCGGAUUUAUUGGGUUUAAAGGGUGCGCAGGCGGUAUUAUAAGUCAGUGGUGAGAUCUGGAGGCUCAACCUCCAAACUGCCAUUGAUACUGUAGUACUAGAGUACAGACGAAGUAGGCGGAAUGUAGCAUGUAGCGGUGAAAUGCUUAGAUAUGCUACAGAACACCGAUCGCGAAGGCAGCUUACUAGACUGUUACUGACGCUAAUGCACGAAAGCGUGGGGAGCGAACAGGAUUAGAAACCCGAGUAGUCC